GACGAACGCUGGCGGCGUGCCUAAUACAUGCAAGUCGAACGCUUCUUUUUCCACCGGAGCUUGCUCCACCGGAAAAAGAGGAGUGGCGAACGGGUGAGUAACACGUGGGUAACCUGCCCAUCAGAAGGGGAUAACACUUGGAAACAGGUGCUAAUACCGUAUAACAAUCAAAACCGCAUGGUUUUGAUUUGAAAGGCGCUUUCGGGUGUCGCUGAUGGAUGGACCCGCGGUGCAUUAGCUAGUUGGUGAGGUAACGGCUCACCAAGGCCACGAUGCAUAGCCGACCUGAGAGGGUGAUCGGCCACAUUGGGACUGAGACACGGCCCAAACUCCUACGGGAGGCAGCAGUAGGGAAUCUUCGGCAAUGGACGAAAGUCUGACCGAGCAACGCCGCGUGAGUGAAGAAGGUUUUCGGAUCGUAAAACUCUGUUGUUAGAGAAGAACAAGGAUGAGAGUAACUGUUCAUCCCUUGACGGUAUCUAACCAGAAAGCCACGGCUAACUACGUGCCAGCCGCCGCGGUAA
rnacentral:rRNA from 1 species